AACGAACGCUGGCGGCAGGCUUAACACAUGCAAGUCGAACGCACCUUUCGGGGUGAGUGGCAGAAGGGUGAGUAACGCGUGGGAAUCUACCCUUCUCUACGGGAUAGCUCCGGGAAACUGGAAUUAAUACCGUAUACGUCCUGAGGGAGAAAGAUUUAUCGGGGAAGGAUGAGCCCGCGUUGGAUUAGCUAGUUGGUGGGGUAAAGGCCUACCAAGGCGACGAUCCAUAGCUGGUCUAAGAGGAUGAUCAGCCACAUUGGGACUGAGACACGGCCCAAACUCCUACGGGAGGCAGCAGUGGGGAAUAUUGGACAAUGGGCGCAAGCCUGAUCCAGCCAUGCCGCGUGAGUGAUGAAGGCCCUAGGGUUGUAAAGCUCUUUCAGUGGGGACGAUAAUGACGGUACCCACAGAAGAAGCCCCGGCUAACUUCGUG
rnacentral:rRNA from 1 species